GUCGUCAAAUUCACAGGAAACAUCCUUGGGACACAUACCUUGGACACGUUCAAAGAUGGCUAACCUUGAACUAAUUUAAGUAGUCAAAAGGUCACAUUCUGUUUCCUAUUUUUAUGUUCAUACAGCCACGGGUAUUGCAAUUAGCAUUGCGUUA